CAGAGCACGAUAACUCGCAGGCACGGGGCCUAGUCCGGAGGAAUGGAGGGUAGAAGAAGAAAUGUAAGUCUCCUUUUUAACUGGUAACCUGUAGCACAGUGUAAAUAGAAGAUUCACCAUGCUAAACCUCAAGCGAUAUGAAGAUGACCAUGCAGAAGGCCAUGAACUAUAUGCUGCAGUGGCAAUAGACAAAUCACAAUAUUUGAACGAAUUGCUGUCACAAGAUUUAUACAAAAAAAUCGAUAACAGUCGGUGUGGAUGGGGUAAUUCAGUGACUCCUCUACAUCUGGCUGCAUCUUUGGGCUCUUUACAGUGUCUUCGGAUCCUCUUGGCUAAUGGAGCUGAAGUGGACAGCCUUGAUGCAAAGGCCCAAACACCUCUCUUUUCUGCAGUGCAUGCUGGCCAUUUUGACUGUGUUGAAGGGUUACUGAAGGCUGGUGCCAACCCUAGUGGGAGUCACUAUAAUAAUAGCACUCCUGUUUUAAUGGCAUCUCGGGAUGGAAAAAAC